rnacentral:rRNA from 1 species
CUAGCCGUAAACGAUGGGUACUAGGUGUAGGUGGUUUCGAUACCAUCUGUGCCGGAGUUAACGCAAUAAGUACCCCGCCUGGGGAGUACGUGCGCAAGCAUGAAACUCAAAGGAAUUGACGGGGGCCCGCACAAGCGGUGGAGCAUGUGGUUUAAUUCGAAGCAACGCGAAGAACCUUACCAGGGCUUGACAUCCUCGGACGACACUAGAGAUAGUGUUUUCUCUUCGGAGACUGAGAGACAGGUGG